CGGCGGUUGGGUUUAGUCAGGUGUGGAAGACUAGGUCUUGGGGAUUUUCCUUGAGCUGGAGCGUCUCCCCUCCGAGCGCCUAAGGCUUCGGUCCAGGCACUGAAUGGCUGGUCUCCAGUUGGCUCCACAUCUGCCUGUGGGCGUUAUGUUCCCACAUAAUAAAACAGAAGCUCAUGGGCUCCACUCCGCUAAGCACGACCCUUACGAACAAAGUGACUCUCCCCAGCGGUCCUCGAUGGGACACUUGAGGACUAGUUUCCAGCAGAAGCUUUGGAGCAACACAGAGCUGGAACAAGAGGAUGUCAUCUCCACCCACCCCAAAAGGAACAUCUGCACGAAAGCCCGGAGGCACUCCUGUCCCCACAGUGCAGGAAUCAGCCAGCAAGGCUCAGGAAACAAUGCCCAGGGCCAAGGAAAGGGUUUGUUUUACUUGUCUAGCCCGACACCCCGGUAUCCCAAAGCAAAUGACCAGGACUUCAUUCCAUUUAGGAAGAAACGAGUUGGCGUGGAUCGGGCAUACCCACUGAAACCCAUGGCAGAGACACUCCACCGUUUGUGGCAAGAUGCAGGGUUCCAAAAGAAAAGUGUUUGACUCCUCCAGGGCCCGGGCGAAGGGCACAGAACUAGAGCAGUACUUGAACUGGAGGGGGCCAGCCACAGACAAGGCUGAGCCUCCUCCUCGGAAGAGCACCUGGAGACAGAAGCACGAGUCUUUUAUCCGUACCCUCCGGCAUGCACGACAAGUCCAGCAGGUAAUCGCCAGAGGUGGCAAUCCCUCAGACCUGCCUUCCAUCUUGCCUGCAGAAAACCCAGACUACGUGCAGUGUCCUCAUUGCAGCCGCCACUUUGCUCCCAAGGUGGCUGAACGCCAUAUACCUAAGUGUAAGACCAUCAAGAACCGUCCUCCACCUCCAAGGAGGCAUGACAGCUGAGCAGACAGUGGCAGACACUGCCUCACUCGGGCUCUUCGUCCCUUCAGCAGAAAACCAGAGAUAAGUGAUGGGAAGCAGGGAGAAAAACAGAACUUUUCCAAAACUCAGGAUCUGCCUGUCGGGCAAAACGACCCAUGUGGAGGAGAGCCACUGCUGCACGGCAGGGGGCAAAUGGAAGCCCCAUCUUCUCACAGGAUCAGAAGCUUGGCUGAGUGCUCAUGGUCUUGCCUGAAGAAUUGGUAGUUGAGGACCCUGGGAAGUGAGGCUGCAUUAAAGCUCUUCCCGAACCUG
rnacentral:lncRNA from 1 species